rnacentral:rRNA from 1 species
GAUGAACGCUGGCGGCGUGCCUAAUACAUGUAAGUCGAACGAGGAGUCUUUGUAUUCGUACAGAGGCUUCCUAGUGGCGAACGGGUGAGUAACGCGUUGGUGACCUGCCCCAAAGUGAGGGAUAACUCCGGGAAACUGGAGCUAAUACCCCAUGUGAUCGCACCGGUUAGAGGCGGUACGAUGAAAGGAGCAAUUCGCUUUGGGAGGGACCUGCGUCCCAUCAGCUAGUUGGUAGGGUAACGGCCUACCAAGGCUACGACGGGUAGGGGGCCUGAGAGGGUGGCCCCCCACAAUGGAACUGAAACACGGUCCAUACACCUACGGGUGGCAGCAGUAGGGAAUAUUGCACAAUGGACGAAAGUCUGAUGCAGCAACGCCGCGUGUGCGAUGAAGGCCUUCGGGUCGUAAAGCACUUUUCUGAGGGAAGAGAACGGACUGUACCUCAGGAAUAAGUCUCGGCUAACUACGUGC